rnacentral:rRNA from 1 species
CAGUAGCCGCGGUAAUACGGAGGGAGCUAGCGUUGUUCGGAAUUACUGGGCGUAAAGCGCGCGUAGGCGGUUACUCAAGUCAGAGGUGAAAGCCCGGGGCUCAACCCCGGAACUGCCUUUGAAACUAGGUGACUAGAAUCUUGGAGAGGUCAGUGGAAUUCCGAGUGUAGAGGUGAAAUUCGUAGAUAUUCGGAAGAACACCAGUGGCGAAGGCGACUGACUGGACAAGUAUUGACGCUGAGGUGCGAAAGCGUGGGGAGCAAACAGGAUUAGAUACCCCUGUAGUCCCUGUCUCUUAUAU